UACGGAGGGUGCAAGCGUUAUCCGGAAUCACUGGGUUUAAAGGGUGCGUAGGCGGCUUAAUAAGUCAGAGGUGAAAGCUGGCAGCUUAACUGUCAAAUUGCCUUUGAUACUGUUGAGCUUGAAUCAGGUUAAGGUAGGCAGAAUGUGGCAUGUAGCGGUGAAAUGCAUAGAUAUGCCAUAGAAUACCAAUUGCGAAGGCAGCCUGCUGGGCCUGUAUUGACGCUGAGGCACGAAAGCGUGGGGAGCAAACAGG
rnacentral:rRNA from 1 species